GGACCCGCACAAGCAGCGGAGCGUGUGGUUUAAUUCGAUGCGACGCGAAGAACCUUACCAGGGCUUGACAUGCUCUCGCACCGGCCAGAGAUGGUCGUGCCCGCAAGGGACGGGAGCACAGGUGCUGCAUGGCUGUCGUCAGCUCGUGCCGUGAGGUGUUGGGUUAAGUCCCCCAACGAGCGCAACCCCUAUCGUUGGUUGUAUUUUUCCAGCGAAACUGCCCGCAAGGGAGGAAGGAGGGGAUGACGUCAAGUCAGCACGGCCCUUACGUCCUGGGCUACACACACGCUACAAUGGCUGGUACAAUGGGCUGCGAAGCGGCAACGCGGAGCCAAUCCCAGCAAAGCCAGCCUCAGUUCAGAUUGGUGGCUGCAACCCGCCACCAUGAAGGUGGAGUUGCUAGUAACCGCAGGUCAGCACACUGCGGUGAAUACGUUCCCGGGUCUU
rnacentral:rRNA from 1 species